UGUCGAAGGGAUUUAACCCUGUUUGUGUUGUGAAUUUCUUCGACCUGCAUUCCCGGUAUGUUUGUCAGCUAGAGGGAAGGGUGAAGUGACGUUUCUAACUCGUUGAACAAUCAGAUAACAGGAAACAUCAAAUACUUGUUUCACGGCCUGUAAACACUGAUACUGUACUUGGUGCAAAGCUGUAGGAAGAUUGCCUACGCAUUCGUAUCGUUUUUAUUCUAAUGUCAAUACAACAAUCUGCUUCAUCUGCAAAAUUGGAUACCAUCCCGAAGAUAGCACAGCUUCUAAAAGGAGAUUGUAUUGUCGCUGUGAGCAACCCUGCUGGUAUGUGCUCUCUAACGGGUAUUAAAUUCAUCUUUGCCGAAUGCUAUUGUACCUCCGGCAUUGGUAACAUAUUCCGAACAUCACGAUGUUCGUGUUAUUGUGUCAUCUCUUCUGAUGUUUAUUCGAAAAUUUAGAUAAUGUUUCU